GAUGAAGAACGUAGUGAAAUGCGAUAAGUAAUGUGAAUUGCAGAAUUCAGUGAAUCAUCGAAUCUUUGAACGCACAUUGCGCCCCCUGGUAUUCCGGGGGGCAUGCCUGUUCGAACGUCAUUUCACCACUCAAGCCUCGCUUGGUAUUGGGCAACGCGGUCCGCCGCGUGCCUCAAAUCGACCGGCUGGGUCUUCUGUCCCCUAAGCGUUGUGGAAACUAUUCGCUAAAGGGUGUUCGGGAGGCUACGCCGUAAAACAACCCCAUUUCUAAGGUUGACCUCGGAUCAGGUAGGGAUACCCGCUGAACUUAAGCAUAUCAAUAAGCGGAGGA
rnacentral:misc_RNA from 1 species